rnacentral:ncRNA from 1 species
UUUAAAUCGAUGAAAAGGACAGUAGUUUUUGCUAUAUUCGAUAGCGAGCUAGGGACGGUGGAAGCCUAGUGAUGAAGCAUGAAUGAAGAACACCUUUGAGUUCUAACCGAAAGGGAUCACUUAAGUAGGCUUAGACGUUACCAGCACGUUAUUAACUGGGAUAAGCAGUGUUAGCUUUAAAGUUGGUCAUAUUAUGACAAUUUGGGUGGUACCGCGGAAGUUAGUCUUUCGUCCCUUUU